UUAGCCAAAUCCGGGAGGGCGCGGGCCGGUUUUCCUCGGCGCUCCUCGCCGCCGCCUCCUGCGGUCCUGAGUGCUUGCGGGGUGGAGCCACUGUCUAGCUCUAACCGAAAGAAGCCAAGGCUGCCAGGGGAGCCCGUCUGUGAUGUCCUCGCUCCCUCAUCGUCAAGACCCUCGCACGCGCUGCAAAGAGGGAACGACAGGCACGGAGCGGCCGGGGGCGGGGUUCUCGCCGAGCUCCGGGUUCCUCUGGACUCGGGCGACGGUGAAGACGCGGGCACCCCGCCCCUCUCGGCGCCUGCGCUGCUUCCGCGCUGCUGGGCCGCCGAGCGGGCUGCCGAGUUAGCGCAGGAGUCGCCCGCUGGAGCGUAGCUCUUGGGAGUGCGGCUUGAGGUCGGCGCUGGGUCGAAAUCACACAGCGCCCUGUGACCUCUGGAGCCUGACUCGUCUCUGGUUAAAGGGUCCUUCAUGGUAGCUGCAGAUUGGGAGUCCCGUCCUGCUGGAAGCCGAGCCUGGGAAAUGCGUGAGCCUCUGUAGCUGCCACCCUCCUUCCAGACUCAGAGAAUGAUAUCCAGCAUGCUCUGGGAGCCUUUGAGUCAUCUCCGUCUGUGAAUCAACCUCCAGCCAUCUAUUCUGAACAGUGAGAUCUCAUCUUCCCCUGGUUUCUGGAACUGGAAGCUCGUGUUUUUCCUUCGGAUUUUGUUUAACGAGUGCUUCCACCUCGAAGCAUGUCAAACUGUCCUCCCAGAUGCAGACUGAGGACUGAAAGCCAGAGCUGGAGAUAAGCAUCUAACCCAAGACCCUGCAGGGAAACACUGAAAACUGCAGCCUCCACUCAACAGGAACUUCCUGCAUCUUCCCACACUGCCUGAGAGCUCUGGCCAGCAAUUUUGACAGGACGUUUGUUCCAUGUUAUGACCAGCAAAACAGCCGAGAAAAACUUGCGUCACUCUGGCCUAGUGGAGUGUGCUCCACCAGACAGGACGUUUGUGUCACAAGCCUUCUAAGAAUCAGGAGGAAGGAAGUCAUUCAUAAAGGAAGCAGAUGCUGAACUACAACUCUGAUUUCCUCUUGCAUGAACUGUAGGAAUGUUACUUCACUGAGGGAACAGGUUUCUCUGCAAUUUGACCAUAGGAAGCUCCCUACCUUUUCAAGUUGAGGUAGGGCCGUGAAGAGCCUAAUGCAAUACCCACCUUCUCCACAGGGGGGUAGGUUCUCAGGUCUCAGAAGUGUACAGGGACAGAUAAGACCUCAGAAGGCAGGAGAGGGGAUGUCCAGAAACCAGAGUGCU